rnacentral:lncRNA from 1 species
AUUCAAAUUAGCAGAAGCCACUUCUGCAGGACAGGGAGUAUAUCAGAUGUAUAGAGAUAAAGUACCGGCUCAUAUUAAGUAUACAUAUAUAUAAUAUCUUAAUGCCCCGUAAUCACAGGACAUGUUAACUGAAAAGGAAUGAAGUACCGUGCUUUAAGAAACAGGCAAACUGAGUAUCUAAGUCGGCUGAACGGAACAGAUUACUGAGUAUGGUAGUGCAUGGAAGCGACAAAGUAGAAACUCGUAUUCUUCUUUGACCGUCAACUGUGGUGUACAGAAGAGCGCACUGCACCAAAAAGAUGGAGAGCUGACUAAAGUGCAAAGCUGGUUGGCAAAUUUGUUCUCAAAUAAAAUGAAUAUGAAAAUCAAACAGUCAGAAUGAUAUAGUCAUUGCCUGAAAAGAACAUUCUGCACCAUCCUGCAAUUUCUCAUCAUGUUUUAGUGUCACCAUUAUUGUCUUGUCACAAUCAAUCUGCAAAGAAGUGCUGGAUCAGAACUGAAACAAAAUCAUGUCAUAAAACGGAUAAUACUUCAGAGAGGGAGAGGAAGAGAGACCGCUGGCAGAUCCACAUCUGUUGGAAUGCGUUUACAAAAAUUUCCAGAAUAUUCUUGAACUUGAAGGCCCUACAAGAGAAAAAUCUUUUCGUUAUUCGUGAUAUUUUUUCCAUCGUGCAGAAUAAAAUGUCAAGAUUACAUUAUGAUACUUUAUCCCUUUAGCUGGUAUUUGGAACAUUUAAGGACACACACACCUCAAUUAACUUUGGUGUGUAGACUUUGAACACCCACACACUUAACAAAGUGGGUGGUGCUGACCAUUGGCAAACCUUUAUCAAAUUUUGAUGACUAAAGAUGGCUUAAAAUACAUGCUAUAUUUACCUGGCUGGAUCUAACUCGCAUAACCGCCUCAAAACCUUGAGGCCUGGUAAUGUUCCAUCGAAGAUCAUUGUAAAGCUUGGCAGGGUCAGAAACCGCAGAGAAAGGGUAAUAAUAAUAUACCUGAAUGAGUAGGUGAUUAUUGUAAGUCGUAAAACUCAACUAAUGAAGGAAAUCAAAAUACACGCAAUAAUAGAAACAAAACAGCUAGAGUCAAAGAUGUGGGGAGCCUGAUUAUCCUUGAAUCAGGCAAAUUUACACCCAGUGCAUAGGCUGACUAUAGAACGAUAUAUACAUUUAAAAAAAACAACAGCAAUCCCAUUACCAUCUUGUUCAGGAACUACUACAACUUUCAGCCAUGCUAGUAUGUUACACAACCAAAACAUUUCUUCUUAUCAGUUGAGUAAGGACAUUAUAUCAAACUUGUAUGAUUACAAGACAACCAAAUUCCAGGUACAUUGACAUAUAUUUAAAACUGCAAAACCAACUGAGCACCAACUCCUUGGUCCUUACGAAGGCAAGAACAAUAACAAGUAAUUUGUACUUGAGGAGUUGCCCAAAACAUAUGUUUACCUAGAUACUUAAGGGUUCUAAAUGUCAACAAAAGGAACUGGAAAUAAAACAAAGAUGGGCUAGAAAAUUAGUUUUUGAUAAACCAACAAAUUAUUGGAGGAACACUUAUGGAACAACAAUCAAUAAAUUAGAGCAAGUCUUGACCUGUGACAGUACAGUUCAUAACAUCUACUUAAAAAAAAUCCUCCCGGCUGCUGUACACUCAAAUAUAAUUAUAGAAGUGUAUUGCAACAAUGAAAGCUGGAUCAGUGGUGGAGCCACCUAUUGAGCCUCGUCGGGGCCAAUUUUUUUCCACAAAUAUAGUAACAUUUACAUAAUUUACAAGGUUAACAAAUAUUAUGUUACUAAAAAUAUCUGGUACGAAACUAAACAUUUGUGAGAUAUUUUACAAUUCUUCCUUUUUUGGAAUUUUGAAGUCACCUUCAAUUUAAACUUCAGACAUCUCUUGAUGCAUUCAAUUCAGAAUUAAAGCUUACAGAAUACAGAAUUCAUUGUCUAGAUAGCCAGGUGGAACACAGAACUCCUCAAAGUACAUUUAGGGCAAUUUUUAUCCUAAAUAUUAUAGCUUUAAAAAAAAUUAUAUAGUUUCUCAGUUACCUGCCCCCCAGUAGUCCUUGGAAUCACAGAGAUUGAUGCAAUGUCAAUAUAUGUUUGUGUGGUUAUGAACACAUCAACGCAGACCUGAUAUAUCAUAAAAGUAUAGGUUUGCAGGAAUAAAUAAUCUGUCACUAAUAUAUCCAAAAAUAAAUGGUUAAUAAUCUUACUUCUAAAAAUUAUGAUGGAAGGAUUGAAUGAAAACAACAAACUUACCUGAUACUCGGCAAAUUCAAUAGCCAUUGUCUUCAAUAUUUUGUCAGCCGGUUGGAGCAACUUGUGAGCCUCCUAUAUUUGAAAUCAGAAUUCUAAUAAUUACAUUAAUGUCAUUAAAUCUUGAACUAAUAGCCUGGUAUGCAUGUAUUCUUUGUUAAGCCCGAAGUAACAAGAAAAGACUCAACAAAUGACACACUACACAUCCUUCGCCAAUAAACCUUUCACUUAUAUAUGCUUAAUGCCUUGGUAUAUUACCAUCUCCAAUCCAUGACACCAAAAUAGUGCAACUUUUACACUAUUUUAGUGUCAAAAUCACAUCAUUCAUAAAAUGCAUUGCAGCCCAUUGACACUAUAAUCUACACUAAAAGGAAUCUUUCUAUGACAUGAAGUGAACAAAUUUGUUUCGCUAACAAAAACAAGGGCAUUGUUGGAAUUAUGAAAGACAUUAAAUCUGUUGGAAUUAUGAAAGACUCCAAUCACAGAAAUUAGAACUGCAGAGUGCAAAUAUUAAAACUGAAGAAUGCAAGAAACACAUAACCAGAAACAAUUAACAUAUCAGUAAACACAUUCUGCAGGCGACUAGUCGACCAGGCGACCGAAAGAUUGACAUUCAGCUAGUCACCAUGACAACCUUGCUAGAUGGCUAUUGAAUAGUUAUGCUUUCAAGCAUAUUCUUAAGAUAUACAAGAGGCAAGAGAAAAUACAAUUCCUGUAGAUGCGUAUUUGACACAGAUAAUAGAUGCAGAAGACUGUAUGCUGUCCAAAGUACAUCUAAAAGGGAAACUAAUAGUGUUCAAAUUUUUUAAUGAAAUUUCGGAUUUUAGGGUUAGUAACACCUAGAAACUGGAGUCAAUUCCCAAUCCGGCACGUCUAAAUAACAUCUAAGUAUAAUACAGUGUAAUCAACCUGCCUGUCCUAAUUACUGGUAAUACCAUAUUUAUUAUAACAAUUUUCAAGUGUAAAGGCAAGAAACAAAAGCAGUAUCCCUAUAGUUACACCUUCUCAGCAGCUGUUAUAUUAGUUCUUCCUUCAGCUUCUCUAGCAGAAAGGGCACCAAUGCCAACAGAUGGUAAAACUGUGCAAAAUAAAUUAAAAAAAUCAUAAGAACAAUAUACAUUCAUUUUUUUGAUAAAUCAUCAAAUUUGUCACCUCUCAACUAGCACAGUAUAGCAUAUUCAUAAUUCUGACAAGAAAAUAUCCUAAUGGCUGAACCUUUUAGGCAGAAUUGUACAACUCACCUUACGACUAAAUCAAACUAAACAUAACACAAAACAUUAAUAGAGAUUAAUCAAAAACUCUUCUAAUAAUACCAAUACAGAAUAAAACAAAAAAAUAUAUAGAAAGAAAAAAAAUGAGCUUGCCUGACUGAAAUACCAUAAGUUUGCCACCGGUACUCUUCAUUGCCAAGAAAGCACCCUAGGAAUAGAGUAAUAUUCAUUAAUAUUUAAGAAUUAUCAGUAACACAAGUUUACAUUGUCUCUUUAUGUGCCAACUAUAGCUACAGAAGAAAGCUAGUGCGACAAAAACAUAUAAAAUUUAGCAUCAGAAAGAUAAGCCGAAAAUAUAAAUACACUUCAAUAAAUCAAAACUGAACAAAUUGAAAGCUCUUAUGUUUCAAUAAAGGUUACACAGUUAAACUUUUGAAUUCAAUUUCUUUUUCUCAAAUUUAUAAUAUAGUAUAUUAAUUAUAAUUAAAUUAAAAUCAGUACACUCAAUAUUAUUUAAAACAAAGAAUGUAAAAGUACGCUUAAUUGCACAUUUUAAUUUCAUAUCAAAAUAGAAUGAAUCAACACUGUCACUUGUAAAAAACCAAAUAUUAAUUAUCACCAACAAAAUUUACAGCUUCAGAUAUCCACAAGUGAAACUUUCAUGUAUGUAAUCAGCACUUAUAUGCAUACCUUGACAGCUGCACCAAAAGCCGAAUCAGCAGUUUUAUUAUUUUGAAACAUGGUGGGGAUAUUUUCCAGCAAAAGCUCCAAAUGCUGACGACACUGCAGCCUCAAACAAGUAGAAUAACUAACCAUUCAUUUUAAGAGUCGAUAGGUGAUCUUUCCCAAAAAUGAACUCCAUAAAUCAAUGGUGUGAAAUAUUGGUCCUAAAAUAUUAAAGCAAACUGUGCCUAGAAAAAAUUACCUAAAACAUAAAAAAAUUGCUAACCUCAGAAAGUUGAACAAUCACAUCACUCUGGAGAGGAGUGUAAACAUCUUGAAUGUCAGGAACAAUAAGCAUCAGUGGCUACAGAAAAAAGAAACAAAUGUAUAUUAUUAGUGAUAACAAACUGUGACUAACUUCUGUUUCAAGUUGUUUCACAACCACUAUCCUUUUUUGCUAUGUACAUUUUACUUUAAUUUAAUCCAUCAUACAAAAUUACAUUCAUUCAAGUAUCUUAGAUCUUAGAUACGCUUUCAAAAUAACUAGUGUAGUUAAAUGAAACAUACUUUACAAACUUUUAGCUAGCAAAACAUGAACCAUGUACAAUAUAAUGAAGAUGAACAUUUAAAUGCAAGUACAGUACUUGGAGGCAGGAGAUGAAUUCAACUUCUGCUUGCAUUCAUAUAUAUACAAUUAUACACACGCGCGCGCGCGCGCGCACACAUAACUUUCUUUAAAAUCGCUUCCCCUUUUAUUAGCUGAAGAUCUAAUUAGCUUUCACAGGCAACAAAGUGACUAAAAGGGGUGCAAUAUUAUAUAUGAUAUCGGUGAAAACUUAAAUAUAUCUAAGGCUGUAAAACUGCAAUCAUUUGCUGCAAUGCAUGUAAAUGAUAUUAAACAUGAUAAAUCUCGAGAAAGGGGAACUUAUUUUAACUAAAAACAAUAUUGUAAAUAGGUGAACACAUGGCACAGAAAUAUAUAUACCUGCUGUAAUGCACGUUUCAAAUUGUAAAAAUGAAUAGUCGAAUCAAACGUCGCGAUCCCCACCAUCGUCCGAGGGCCCUCCUGCAACAGAAGUAAAAAAGAUAUAAGAUCUACUACAAACGAGGAAAUAAAAAAACCAAAUAUUAAUUACCGAACCCUGCAAUGCCUAGGCAGUGCAACAACCGGAAAAGUCUGCGAGGGAGGGGGGAUUUUCUUAUAAAUGUGUUAAAAUCAAAGAAAAGGAUUGAUUAUAAUAUAUUUUUUUUCCUAUGUUUUUAAAACUUCAUUAGUUUGACAGUAAAGGUGAGAAAACAAUGGGUUUACGAAAUCCAAGGAGAACAAUGCAAAUUGUAAAAACAAAUAAAAAAAUAAAGCAAAAUGAUAGAGAAUGAGCACUUUCAAUAUUCGAAGUUUACAACCUUUCGUGUAACCAUAAUUAUCUAUUAUGUAAGCUGCUCAAGAUUGUGUCAACUUAACAACCUUUCGUGUAACCAUAAUUAUCUUAUUAUCUAAUACUGUUGAAGAAACAUUUUGCCUAAAAGGUUGAUCGGUUAGACAUAUAAUCGACUGGAGUACAGGACUACAUAUAACUCUCUUCUUCUCUAUGGAAGUAGUUUUCUUCUAUCAUAAAGAAGAUACUUAUGACCGACCAGUAGUAUCAAAGGUAGUUCACCAAGUUGUAGAAUCUCUAUAUAUGGCCCUGCCACCUUUUUUGACUACAAAAGAGCAGCAUAAAAAAGGAUUGAGAACUAGUCUUUGUGCAGUAAAUACGUGCACUAUAUUUGCGGUAGGCUCUUAACCCACGUCGACAAGUCAGCGACUAGUUCAUUUGGAGAGAAGUCAACAAGCAACUUGUUACAUUUGCAUCAUAUAUAUCUGUUGAUGAUACUAUCAUAGCAUGAGAAAGCAUCCUGAAUUAAAAGACUAUAUCACUUUAUAUUUUCUACUCUCAUGUUAUUGUCAACUCUAUAUACUGCGUAAAAAGUCAAAUCAUGAUUUCUGACCAAUCAUAAACAUAUUGCUCACAUAUAUGUACACUUUCUAAUAGCUGGCAAGCAGCGACUUGAUUCCAGUUUACUCCUCUACAAUAGAAGGCGACGCAACACAAAAACAACACUUAAAUGCAUCUCAAUUCUUAACUCUUCCAAACAGUUUACUAGCCCGUUUAGAAUCCACUCCAGCUUCGGGCCUAAAGCAUUUGUAAUGAGCUCUACAAACGUGCCCAAUGCAAAGUCAUAAGAAUGUAAAUGCUUAACUGCUACAUUGCAGGUUACAGAUGAGAAAUCCAGCUUAUCAUAUUAAAGCAUAUUCCAAACACUACGCUCUAUUGUGAUGCUGUAUAUGCUCAUUACAGUAUAUAAAUAUUCAUAAAUGAAGGUAAUUUGUUAUGAUCUAUUACUUUCUGCAAUGCUCGAGACAAUUACAAUGAAUCAAGAUUAUAACAUAAAAAGAAAACAUAAACAUUUAACUUAUGAACUCUGAACAUGAGGCAACAAACAUAAACUUACUGGCAGAUCAGCAAUAACUUGGCUGAUUGCACUACAUGCAGCUGCUGUUGCACCAGUCUGUAGUGAGUUCAUUGACACAUCAACGAGAAAGAAAAAUACUGCAGGCAUUGGAUCGCGCACCUGACAAAAAAUGAAUUUGUAAGAAUUUACUUACGCACCAUUUUAUUAGAAAUUUGGCUGAAUUGAAGCAGUCUAACUGUAUUGCUCAUGAACCAAGUUUCUGGAAGCUUGCAAUCUUUAACUCCAACAGUUGUCCCCUUAAAGUCUAAGACUAAGAGGGCUUGAUAAUACCAAAAUGUUGGUUCAUUACCAAAACUAAGAUACUAACCAUAUAUUCUUUGGUGGCAACAAAUUCUACUGUUCCUUUACACAGCUCAGGCCUUUCAUCGGCAUCUCUGCGCCUACCAUCCGGGCCUAGAUUGCAAUGAUACUCUCGGGGGGUUUCAUCAGUAUAUCCUGCAACAAAUGUCAUUCAAGCAAGUUAGAGCUAGUGUUGCACUGCAUUUGCUCAGAACGCUAUAGACCAUAAUACUCACCACAUAAGUUGCAAAUGAAACGUCUUCCCUGGUCAAUGAACCUCAUGAAAGGAUUUAUGUAGCCUUUGCAACGAGAACACCGGACAGGACCACUUUCACCAAAAUCCACGACCUAAAAUGAAAGGAAUUAUUCAAUUAUGUGAUCUACACUUUACAAUCACUAAAUCUUCUCACUACAUAAUAUUGAUGAUCAUGAACCUUUAUGAAUUCAUCUACAUACUUGCAUCUGAUUUAUCUCUGAACUGUCAUCUGUUUAAAAACUCUUUUAUUAAAUAGGAUAGAACUAUUAAGACCAGUGAUACCAGCAUUAUCCCAAUUACAAUACUCUUGUGCUUAAAAGAAAUUCUUACAUGAUUGUGUCUAUUAAAAUUUGACAUAAAAAAGCAUUCGGAAAUUGCUUCCCUACAGACAAUCCUCCACAAAAAUGCAGUGUCAUCAAUAAUCAUAUAAAACCACAAACACAUCAAGUUCACACACCCUCAGAUCUGUAUUCCUCCCAACAUCAUUUCUCUUCUCCUUUUUAACUCACAACCAUAGACCAGCUAGAGCAACUUAUCAACAAAGUUUAUAUUUAAAGAAACUCGCUACUGCACUCUAAACUUCCAUAUCUGAUUAUAAGAUACAGAGUACAUGUUGCCAUUUCCCCUAACAGUUCAUACAAUAAUGGUAGAACGGGCAGGAAGGAGGAAGGAAUACACACACUCACACACAUAUGUUUAUGUACACACUACACAAAGAUAUAGACACAUUUGUGCACAGGUGUAAGCAACCAAAAUAAUUGAUGGGAGCAUCAUGUUCACUAUAAACAAACUAUAUUGUUCCAUAAUAUAACCUAUAUUAUAUAAAUUUUUAGGUCCUUAAAUGAAUAAUUUUACAGAACAGAAAAGUUUCCAUGUGACGAGCAACUAGUGUACUGAAAAUUGUUAGUAGGCACAAGUUUAAAUAUAUUCUUUUUAAUGGUUGGGUACAUACUCUUUCCCCAUUUAAAUCAAGUAUGAAUGCCUAUGCAUCUGUAAUGAUAUAGUAAAUAAAGGACGCUGAACGAACAAAAAUGCAGCAAACAUUAAGUCACAACUUUGGGGGAUUUUGAAGUGGGGUAAGAAAAUAUAUCUUCUGUGGAGUGCUUUGAAUUUUAGGUUACAUAUUAAAGUUCUUGACUUUCCUAGACUGUUCGCCAGGGCAUAUCCGAAAGCCAUUGGAAUUGGAAAUCGAAAUCGUAAGAUCGAAAUGCCUCCCAAAAGUAAUCACAUGAUUCAAAUUUACUAGUUUACAACCACAGGUUAUUUUCCAUGGAUUUCAACACAGGAAAUUUGCAGCAAAGAUUUUCGCUUACUCUAGGACAAAACUGGAAACUAUUCAGCGUCAGCAAACUUUUAUAAUAUAAAACUAUUAGGGGGCAAAUUAGUAUAUUACCUGGAUAGGCUCCUCAGAGGGAUGAGGAAGGGCCAAGGGCUGGACCAACAGUGCCAACUGCAUCCCGGAUGUUCCUAGAAGAUCAUUGGUGCAAGGAAUCUGCAGAAACAACAUAGAAUCUAUCAUGAUUUUGAAAAACAAUAUAAAGUGUCAGAAAUUCGUAGUGCGUUUGAAAUUUUGAAAUUAAGGACAAGAACCUGGUUGAUUGUACAUCUCAUGUACCGGGGACUGCAGUUUCCGGUGUCCCUGACAAUAUAGUCAGUGGUAGCCGACUUCAUAAUAGAAAGCAAACAGAAUAUAAGAGGCAUAAACACAAAGCAAUUAUAAUUUUAAGCAAAUAACUUACAUCUCAAAUAGAUAUAGGUUUAAAGACACAUUCGUAUAAACAGGAAAAUUAAUGCUAAAACAGAAAGAGAAAAAGUCUACAGGCCACAACUCUAGCUAAUGAGUGUACAUAUUAAUCAUUUCUAGUUGACAACUAGAUACUCAAAUGCAUUACCGGAGGCGGGUUAGCUUGAUUGCCCUGACGUGUUUCAUGCAACACAACCGAUGAACUCGGAAUAGGGCGCGGGAUCUGAUUAGGAUCAAUUUUUGACGGGCCUUGGCUCAUGGCAGGUGAUAUGGAGGCUGCAGAUUCUGGACCUGGCAUGUUGUACAUCCUUGGGGGUGGAGCAGCACCAGGAAUUGCUGAAGGUGGUGCAACCUGGGAAAAAAUUUCAAACCUCAAAGGUCAGCACUAAGCAAUCAGUAAAAGAAUUAAUUAGAAGUGCUACAUUUUUCGUAUGGUGUUACCGGAGACACCGGAUAUGAUUAUCAUUGAUGAUGACAGAAAUCUAUACUUAGCUUACAACUAAAUCAUUAACAAUUUAGAGAAAAUAGCUAAAAUGGAUAUGAAAUAAAUUUGUUUACCUUAUACGAAUAACAUAAUUAAUAUAGAUAGCAUUAGAAAAAAAGAAACUCGUACUAAAAUCAUUAAGAGGGAUAAUAAGCAAAAUACUACACUGCAAUUCAUGUGAAGAUAACAUUAAAGAGCAAAGGAACGCUGGGGAAUUGGAACUACUUCCAGAUAUAUAAAAGAUUCUAAUGCAAUAUUACAUUAGAAAAUUGUUUUUACAGGAAAGGAAUAAUGAAAGCAUUAUGAAGAAGUAUUCUGUGCAGCAUCCAACCGUCAAUAGGGGAAAUAAGAUACAUGUUCUUAAUUCUGAGGAGAGAAGCUACAAUACCUCUACAAGCAAGAAUGAUGAGUCAUAGAAAAGGCCAAAAAAAAAAAAGAAAAAAAAAGGGGGGGGAAGAUAUAUCUUACUACAAAAGAAAAAAAAAGAGGCUCAGUAACAGCUAUCUACUGAAGCAGGGGAAAUUACAUUUCACGUCUACAAUCGAGAUUCAUCAACAUCCAGGACUAUAGUAUAGAAAGUGAUAAUGAAACCAUAUUUACUGUCUGCGAUUAAUGUAGAUGUAUUCGGAAAAGAUUAUACAAGGCUAUAGAAUUUCUAACAGAAUCCUACAUCCAAUAUAGAUUUUGGUAACAUGCAAAAAUUCAUAAUUCAAACAAUACGACUCAUGAUACUACCGAGACAUAAUUGGAAAAUGUGAUAAUAAUGUUUAAUGCAUUGUGAUCUUCAAAAGCACAGUUAAUAAAUCAGAACUCAAGUAUCUUGAUGCGAGCGAGUGAAAUUCUAUUUGUAUGCUCAAAAACUUUCUAUUGUCACAGUAUACCGACUACUAUUCCAAUUCUAGUCCUAUAACAACAUGGGGAACAUAUAUUUAGCCUGUAUUUAAAAAAUUAUCAGCAUAAAUUAUAGAACUUGUACUUACCUUCUUACUUUUUCUUGAAUAUAAGAGAGGCAUAUUUAAGGCAAAUAUAGUAGCUUUAAAAAACACGAUUAAAUUACCCAAAAGGACAUAAUGAUUUAUAAAUAACAUUAAACCUAAUAUGUACUACGUUACCAUGUAAAUCUCACCUGACGUUGUUGCAUGGACCACGGCUGAGACCCAAACGGAGAAACCUGAAAUUGAGGUCCUUGAGCAGGAGCUGAAAAUGCUGAGGAGCCUAAAGGGGGUGGUGGCACGCCUUGAGAAUGUGAUGCGAAAGAUGGUGCCAGUGGUGCAGGACCAGGUAAGGGACUAGCAGCUAGACCUCCACUAAAAGGGCGCAUUCCUGCAGAGGGCGGCAUUGAUGGUAGAGAAGGUGGUCCACUUGGCAGAGAAGGUGGCCCACUUACUGGCCGCUGCAUUCCCACAGGAGAAGGAAAGCGAGGUCCACCUUGUACACCCCCUGAAGGUGGUCCAUUACUAAAUGGACCUGGGGCACCAGUAGAUGGUGGCGGAACUUGACCUGAAUUCAUUGGUGCAGACUGAAAGGGACCGGGGCGAGUACCAGGAGGUGGAGGUGCAGGGCCGGCAGAACUGAAUGCACCUGGCGGUGGAGGGCCCGGAGGCCUCACUCCAAAAGGCGGAGUAGGACCACUAGGCCUACCGGGCGGUGCAUUAGGGGGUCCUAAUGCACCUUGCGGUGGGCCAAUAGGAGUCCUAGGAACAACACCUGGUGGCGGCGGCCCUGGUCGUGGCCCAGGGGGACCUUGCUGUGGCCCAGGUGGACCUUGCUGAGCAAAAGGCGGAGGAAAUGGAGGCCUGUUAUUAUUAUUAACCUGAAAACUCAUAUUCCAAGAUGCAAAAACUGAAUCCCCAAAACCUUAAUCCACCACUCAAACACUAUUCUCUGCAUAAAACAAACCUCAAUUAAGCAAACAAUCAACUUCACAAAAAAAAAAAAAUUAUCUAAAAUCAAACAAUCCAGGCCAAACAAAAUAACAAAUUACAUACAUGAUCACUGUUACUUAAGCACCAAAUUCAAUCCAGUCAAACAAAAUCAAAAUCGAAGCCUAACUAAUUAAAACAUACACAUUACUGCAAUCACAUAAUCGACACAAACAUAAUCACCGCAAACAAUCACUUACAUGAUCACACACAUAAAAUCACACAGAAGUGAUAAGAUACAGCAAGUAAAAUACAAUUACAGGAUCAAACACCAAUCAUAAAUCACCUCAAUUUAAACAUAUAACAUCAAUCGAUUUCGAAUUAGACCAAAUGAUUAAAUUAUAUAUACAUAUACAUAUAUACAUUAAAUUGAUCACGGAUAAAUAAGAAAAUUAAAACGCGAUUCAGCAAAUAAAAUGAAGAUGGCACGAAAAUCGAGAAAUACCUCAAGGAAGAAAAAUGGGCGGAGAUGUACGUCGCGAUGGAUCGCAUACAAACGCAGACAGGAUAUGAGCGUAUGUUUGUGUGUAUAAUAUAAUAAUAUAUAUUAUUAUUAUUAUUAUUUAUAAUUGAAAUUAUAAUCUGCCUGCGUCUGAAUUGAAGCUGUUACUGCUGCUAUCGCUCGCUUUAGAUCUGGACUUCUGUAUUUGCCCACAAUGCAAAUUCUACUCCAUUUGCAUCUUUUUCUUCUUUCUUUUUCUCAAAAUAAGUUGUGAUGUUUUUUUUAAUAAAUAGUUAUUAUGUUUUUCAUUAUAAUAAAGUAUGUUAUAUAGUUUUUGACAAAUAAAUAAUUUUGUUAAGAGAAAUUACUAUCAGAACCAAAUCGGCACAAACCUCGAACUGUCAACUACGAUCAGAUUGUGAAACAAAGAACGAGCUAAACAAAUACUCCCUCCGUCCCUCCCAUUUCUUAUCGAAUGGGUUGGGCACGGAGGUUAAGAAAUAUAUAUAAAGUAGUGGAAAAGAGAAAGAAAAGUGGGUGAAGUGGUGGGACCUAUCGAUUUUUAAUAUAUAAAAAGAAGGUAGUGGAGUAAAAGUAGUGUGAAAAGGAAAGAAAAAUGGAGAAGUGGUGGGACCCAUUAACUAUUUUUGGUAAAAAAAACUUUUGCUAAAUAAAAUUUAUAUAAAAGAGAAUAGAGAAUACAUCCUACAAGGGGCAUACCCCAGGAAGAUACAGAAGAG